UACGGGGGGGGGCAAGCGUUGUUCGGAAUUACUGGGCGUAAAGGGCUCGUAGGUGGCCAACUAAGUCAACCGUGAAAUCCCUCGGCUUAACCGGGGAACUGCGUUUGAUACUGGAUGGCUUGAGUUUGGGAGAGGGAUGCGGAAUUCCAGGUGUAGCGGUGGAAUGCGUAGAGAUCCGGAAGAACACCGGUGGCGAAGGCGGCCUGCUGGGCUAUUGCUGACACUGAGGCGCGACAGCGUGGGGAGCAAACAGG
rnacentral:rRNA from 1 species